UACGAAGGGGGCUAGCGUUGCUCGGAAUUACUGGGCGUAAAAGCGCACGUAGGCGGCUUUCUAAGUCGGAGGUGAAAUCCUGGAGCUCAACUCCAGAACUGCCUUCGAUACUGGAGCUUGAGUCCGGGAGAGGGUGAGUGGAACGUGCGAGUGUAGAGGUGAAAUUCGUAGAUAUUCGCAAGAACACCAGUGGCGAAGGCGGCUCACUGGCCCGGUACUGACGCUGAGGCGCGAAAGCGUGGGGAGCAAACAGG
rnacentral:rRNA from 1 species